AGCCCCGUCAUCUAGCGGUCAAGGAUGUCAGGCUCUGGACCUGAACACGCCAGUUCGAAUCUGGCCGGGGCUA
rnacentral:tRNA from 1 species